GAUGAAGAACGCAGCGAAAUGCGAUAAGUAAUGUGAAUUUCAGAAUUCAGUGAAUCAUCGAAUCUUUGAACGCACAUUGCGCCCGCCAGCAUUCUGGCGGGCAUGCCUGUUCGAGCGUCAUUUCAACCCUCGAGCCCCCCCGGGGGCCUCGGUGUUGGGGGACGGCACACCAGCCGCCCCCGAAAUGCAGUGGCGACCCCGCCGCAGCCUCCCCUGCGUAGUAGCACACACCUCGCACCGGAGCGCGGAGGCGGUCACGCCGUAAAACGCCCAACUUUCUUAGAGUUGACCUCGGAUCAGGUAGGAAUACCCGCUGAACUUAAGCAUAUCAAUAAGCGGAGGA
rnacentral:misc_RNA from 1 species